CCAAAACAGCACUUGGCGGACGUGGAAGAUAAUUGUUGUAUUUAUUUUCUAAUAAAAUUAAAUCGUGGCGUGCAUAGUUUUCCCAAUAUGUUCUUGUAAUUGAAAAGCUUGAGAGUAACUAAAACUGAUUAUCAGCUGCUGAUUAAAACCCGAAAAAGGAAAGUGUUUUGGGUGUCUCCUCCUGUCUCUGAACUGAUUUCUUUACAAAUUUGCAUGGCUGGAUUUAUCUUCGUUUAAGGAUUUUGCCUGAUAGGACUCCAAAACUACAGCAGCAAAUGAUAAAAUGUCAUCAGUGAAGUGGUUGCCUACCACCCAGGAUCCAGUUACUAGAAGUUUAAUGUAAAUCCAAUUACAAAUUACUUGAAAUCUGGAUACUAAAGGCUUGGAUUUCAUAGCUCAACGUAUGAUAACCAAAACGAAGAAUUAAAAGAGCCCUGCCUGGAUGACCUAAUGCAACAAGACCAGCCAGCAAUUCAAGCAAGAAGAAAUUCACAAUACUGCUAAAAAAAUCAUGCUCCAA